GGGCGGCUCCGGCUGCCGCGUCCCGGCAGAUAACGGCUUGUGGUGGGCCCACACGGCCCUCCCCGUAGUGCGGGUGUUCACCGCGUGUAGCCGGAAUACUGGUGACGUGCCAGACCAGCAAGUUACCAGAAGAGGGUGUAGCAGGAGUAAGCUGAAGCAUGAGCACCCAUCUGCUCACCAGUACCUACCUACAUGCACUUGCCACUCAGUGGAAGAGGGAGGCAGGAUACAGGACUGCAAGACUCUUUGGUCUAACCCCGUGUGGCUGCUCUUAUGUUUCUCAUAUACUCUGCAACAGCAGGAUGUGGGAGGACAGGAAUGUCAAUGUCAGGAAGGGAAAACACUGCUGGAUAUGAAGAUGCCACAGGCCUGUGCCACUGCGCACUUCUGCAAGGCAGCAGAAAGGGUCUGUCCCCCACAUCUGCCAAACAGGCCGCAAAGUCCUGCCCGGUUGACCUAUGCCAGAAAGAAACAUGAAGGAGAGAUUCUGUCAUCUCUGCAGGAAGAUUGAUGACUCAGAAAAUGAAAGGUUUAGCAUGGGAUGCAACUGAACUGAACAGAUUUCAUUAGCUGCACCUACAUUUUACUGUUACUUUUCAUUGUUGCUGCAGCACUGCCUAGAAACCUGAGCCUCACAGUACUCCAAGCUGGAAAUACUCAUGAGAAGACUGUCUCUGUCUGAGAAAUCUUAUACAAUAAGCAAAAGACAAAAGAUGAAGACAGCAGGAGGAAAAAACCUUUAGUACACAGAAGACAUUGCUAGUGUUGGAUUAUUUCUGGCAGACAGAUGCAGGACAGGCUGGAGCAACAUCCCAGCAUAACCAGAGCCAGAAACAGCUACAACUGCAGUAGAAGAGGUGCACGGUUCCAUUAUGAUCUGUGACAUGGAAGGGCACGAGAGGCUGAAGCUCCCUUAGCCCUCUCAGCAAAUCCACAAAUACGAACUUAAAGCUUUGUGCCACGUGUAGUCAUUCACAUCUGUGCUGAGUGAGGAUAAAGUAGCAUUUCUGUGCUGAUGGAAGUGUUUGCCCAAAAAGAUUAGGUCCUCAAUAUUUUCUGAAACAGAAAUAUUGCCAGUGGUGGGUUUUAAUGUAAGCAGCCCCUUCCUGUAAGAGAAGGAACUGGAAGCAGCUGGGACUUGGAGACUUAACCAGUAAUUUACUUGAAAGAAAGAGUAGUUUCAACUGCAAGACUGUAACAGUCAGUCUAACAGUGUGCAACUGAUACAAUGCAAUCUGGUUAACAGGGUGAGCUACUAUUUCUGAAUCACUGCCACACAAAAAGGUCCCAUCAGGUCUCAAUUGCUGUACAGCUCUGCAGGCCUUACUGCCAUUCUGCAACCCACACAUCCACUAGCUUCAGAGAAUGUCUUAAUUUUUUCACAACCUUAAAAUCCCAAGCAACCUAGGAGAGCUUGCCUGUGUUUGUUUUAUUUAUGUUGCUGAUGGGCUUUUUAUAGUGACAAAAAAACGACUUCACCGCCAUGCUUAACAAGGUCAGGAUGUAAUGUUCUCAUCAGGAAAUACCCUGAGAGGCUGGCAACCUUGGGUGGCCUCCUCUUGCACAUUGAUAAGAGAGGAAGAAGACAUUGGUCUGGAAAGGGAACACCAGCAGCAUUCUGCACAGGCUGUUUUUACUGCUAAGCUCAAUAGAGGAGGGAACUUACAGGUGCCUCCGCAUGGUUGUGCAGCUCAGCCCUCUCUGCACAUCCCCAGACAUGGAGACAGUGACUAAAGAUUUACUAACAUUGUGGAGGCAAGGGAGUACAGUCAGGAGGGAAGGAGAUCUCCUGGAAGUAGAGAAAACUGGAGCAGACGCAUCUGUCCCUGAGGCUGUAGCUGGACUACUAAGCUAAACAGCAACAGGCUUGUUCUCUGGCUUAGAGACCAAUUGGCAUAGCUUGUGACCGUACUGUUAAAUUGAGCUGGUCUCGAAAGCAGGGCUGCCACACACAGGCUGCCUGUUGGGAACAGCCCCUGCUCAUGCUAUGGUCCUGAAUCGCACAAGCAAAUUGUUGGGCCAGUUGCUAGUUAAAUUCUCUACCUGGCCCCCACGAGUGGCGCAGGGGGACGGGGAAUGGGGGUUACGAUCAGUUCAUCACACGUUAUCUUCCUCCUCAGGGGCAGGACUCCUCACUCUUCCCCUGCUCCAGCAUGGGGUCCCUCCCACAGGAGACAGUCCUCCACAAACUUCUCCAACGUGAGUCCUUCC